rnacentral:snRNA from 1 species
GGAUGUGAGGGCGAUCUGGCUGCGACAUCUGUCACCCCACUGAUCGCCAGGGUUGAUUCGGCUGAUCUGGCUGGCUAGGCGGGUGUCCCCUUCCUCCCUCACCGCUCCAUGUGCGUCUCUCCCGAAGCUGUGUGCUCGAUCGAAGAGGACGACCUUCCCCGAUAGAGGAGGACCGUUCUUUGGUCAAGGGUAUGCAAGUAGCUGCGCUCCCCUGCUAGAACCUCCAAACAAGCUCUCAAGAAACAAAAAGAAAGAAAGACAAGACAUGGACUUAAAAAAUAUAUAAAAACACAAAAAACUUUUAAAUCUCUUUGAUUUUUCUUU